rnacentral:lncRNA from 1 species
GCAUUUGCUGCAUUUUCCUAUGAUCUUCUGCUAAACUCAGGCCUUUUAUUUACAGACAAACGGUGCGACUUUUACACAGGCAUCAUGGGAGUAAGCCCAAGAUAUUUUCUCACACUUGAUUCCAGGCAUGUGGGGUUUGGUUUCUUGAUCAAAUAUCUGUGUUUGCUCUGUUUACAAGUAUCUGAUGAGCAAAACCAACAGAGGUGCUCCAGACAGGCUGGCUGUGCUGAUCCCUUGGAAAAGAAUUAAACAAAACCCAGUCUUUGUGGAACAGGAGGCCUGACGUCAAAAGCUCCCCCUCGUGACCAAAUCGACUGGGACUUGUUGGAUCCAAGAUGGCAGCUCACUUGACUUCUGAAGAACCUGGAACUUCAUUAUAAUCAAAUUUCCGUGCUAAAUGACAUUCCCGCGAGCACCAUGACAGUUGACAAUCACCAUGACAAUGACAGAAGAAACCAUAAAAUGACAAAAAGGAAGGCGGCAACUCUGGUUCUGAGUUUUCUGCCCAUUUCCAGAAAAGAUGUGAAUAUUCUUCUCUUUGCUUUUAAUGCCUGACCCUGUCAUUAGAGAUAUUCUGUAUCUGUGACUUCCUGGUUUUCAUAAGCUGAGAAGGUGAUUUGUGAGCCAAUCUCCUGGUUCUCAAUUUCAUGGCCAUUGAAUGAAGCUGGUACUGCUUGAUGCUCACUUUCUGUUCUGUGUAUUGGCUUCCUGGCACUGAAGAGGGAAAGACCUAUUUUUGGGGUGGGGGCGGGGGGGACCAGCUUUAUCAGUAACAGAAAGUUAGGACAGUCAUUCCUUUUCAAGACACCUCUUCAUCCUCAAAGAUUAACAGCUCUUUCUUAAUGUCAUAACAAUCAAAAUUUGGAAUUAAGCUCCUUAUGGAUCACGGGUGAGAGUGAAUUUGCUCUUUGAAAGAACAGAUGUCACAAUAUAUGAACAUAUUUUCAUUUUAUUAAACAUGCUAGUACAGUACAGUGGUUAAGACCUCAGAGGCUGGAGCUAGGGGCCCUGGGCUGGAAUUCUGACUCUGUCACUUACAUGUGAGACAGUAGGCAUGUUAUCAACUCAACAUGUCUCAGUUUCCUUGUCUAUAAAAUGGGGAUAAUAAUAGAACCUAACUUAUAAGGGUGGUUGUGAGAAUUAAAUGUGUUAAUAUAUGUAAAGUUUCUGAAAUGGUGCCUAACAAAAAGUAAUCAUUAUAUAAAUAUUAACUACUCAUCUUUCUAAUGUGUUACUAUUUUAUGGUAUUCUGUUUUCCUACUAUUUUUAUUUAGCUUGUUUAUCAUCAUUGAACAUUAUUUUUACUAUUUAAUAUUUUCUUUAUUUAGAAGAAUUUAUUUUUCUAGGGCAGUUUUAGGUUCAUAGCAAAAUUGAGAGGAAGGUACAGGUAUAUUUCCCAUAUACCAUUGGGUCCCAUACAUGCAUGGCCUCCUCCAUUAUCAACACCCCCCACCAAAGUGGCACAUUAGUUACAACAGAUGAACCUGCAUUCACACAUCAUUAUCACCCAGAGUCCGUAGUUUACAUCAGAGUUCACUCUUGAUGUUGUUCAUUCUGUGGGUUUGGACAAAUGUAUAAAGGCAUGUGUGCACCAUUAUAGUUUCAUAUAGAGUAGUUUCAAUGCCCUAAAAAUCCUGUGUGUCCCUGAACACCUAAAGGAGGUCUGGAGUGGAGUGAGGCAAUCAAUUGGGGGGUGGGCUGAGGGAGCACAGCUGCAGAGACCGGCCUUGGAGGGCACCCUGAGGGUCCUGUGCUUCCAUGGUACAUGCAAAGCCAACCUCUCAAGGGCUACAAGCAGUGACAUUCCAUAAGCAGGUUUCCAUUUUGGAGAGAUCACCCUGUCCUCUUUGAGGGACGUGGGUUAGAAGAUCACCUGGGACUUUAGCAGCCUUGGGAAGGCCCUGAGCCAGCAACCGCUCAUACACUUAAUUGGAUCAAUGAAAAAGGUCCAAAUUCCUGUUGACGCUAACAUCUGAUCACCAUAGAGCCCUACGACAAUUUUAGAAUCGGCAGCCUAAUCCAGUGGUCUCCACUGUGGGGUGACACACCUCAGAAAGUGCACAAAACAAUUCGUUUCAGAGUGGAAGAGAAAUACUAGAACUUCUAUUUUUAAAAAUAAUAAAUACAACUAAAUAACAAAUUUCAUUAUUUCCAAAUUGAACAUUUCCUUUGUAUGUUUUAUAAUGUAUUAUAUAAUAUACAUUAUCUCAUUUAUAAACAAACAAAUAUGAGGUGGUGCUAAAGUGUUUUUACUGAUUGAGCGCCGUUUCCUUCCAUGCUGGAAGUCUCCUAUCUGUGUCAAAGGCUAUCCUGAUUCAACCCCUGAAAUUACUAUUCCAGGACUUUAUUGUCAUAUAUGACAGAGAUUUAGGGAAGACUUAGGCCAAAAUUUAUACCAAUAUAUUAAAACAAAUAAACAUAAUAAAGUAAUUUAAAAUUUAACAUGUGCUUGUCUCUCAUGCACAGCCAUUCAGUGCUUGGGACAGUGCCUGACAUACAGAACACGUUCAGUACAUAUUUGUUGAAUGAAUAAAUGGAUUAAGGA